rnacentral:rRNA from 1 species
GUCUGCGUGUAUGGAAUUCGCAGUCUGGCCUGCCCCCUGAUUAAUUUUUAAAGGGCCGCGGUAUUUGAACCGUGCUAAGGUAGCAUAAUCAAUAGUCUCUUAAUUGGGGUCUAGUAUGAAUGGUCGGACAGGAGGUAGGCUGUCUUGGGUAUAUGUCUUGAAUUUUACUUUUAAGUGAAAAGGCUUAAAUACAGUAGGGGGACGAUAAGACCCUAUAAAGCUUUACAUUUUAGUUCUUAGUUUGUAAAAGUUAAGGUGUUGACAUCUAGUGAGCUAAUAUGUUUCGUUGGGGCGACGAGAAUAUAAUAUGUAACUGUUUUAAGAUUAAAAUAAAUAUAUUUAGAUAAUUCGAUCCUUUUUGAAGAUUGUAAGAUUAAAGUUACUUUAGGGAUAACAGCGUAAUUUUUCUUGAGAGUUCAUAUCGACAGAAUUAGUUGCGACCUCGAUGUUGAAUUGAAGGUGUUAUCAAGGUGCAGCAGUCUUGAUAGUAAGUUUGUUCAACUUUUAAAACCUU